CCUGUAUGGGACUCUCUGUGCUUCCUGGACUUGAUUAAGUAUUUCCUUUCCCAUAUUAGGGAAGUUUUCAACUAUAAUCUCUUCAAAUAUUUUCUCAGUCCCUUUCUUUUUUUCUUCUUCUUCUGGGACCCCUAUAAUUCGAAUGUUGGUGCAUUUAAUGUUGUCCCAGAGUUGUCCCUGGAUCCCGGGACCCUGGCAGUGGCGGGCUGCACAGGCUCCCCGGAAGGGGGGUGUGGAGAGUGACCUGUGCUCGCACACAGACUUCUUGGUGGCGGCAGCAGCAGCCUUAGAGUCUCAUGCCCGUCUCUGGGGUCCGCGCUGAUAGCCGCGGCUCGCGCCCGUCUCUGGAGCUCGUUUAGGUGGUGUUCUGAAUCUCCUCUCCUCGCGCACCAGGAAGCAAAGAGGCAAGAAAGAGUCUCUUGCCUCCUCGGCAGCUCCAGACCUUUUCCCGGACUCCCUCCUGGCUAGCUGUGGCGCACUAGCCCCUUCAGGCUGAGUUCCCGCCGUCAACCCAGUCUUCUCCCUGGAAUCCGACCUCCGAAGCCGGAGCCUCAGCUCCCAGACCCCGCCCGUCCCGGUGGGUGAGCAGACGAGCCUCUCUAGCAGAUGGUCACAUCUUUAGAUCCUGAAGCAAGAGC